UACGAAGGGUGCAAGCGUUAAUCGGAAUUACUGGGCGUAAAGCGUGCGCAGGCGGUUUUGUAAGUCUGACGUGAAAUCCCCGGGCUCAACCUGGGAAUUGCGUUGGAGACUGCAAGGCUGGAGUCUGGCAGAGGGGGGUAGAAUUCCACGUGUAGCAGUGAAAUGCGUAGAGAUGUGGAGGAACACCGAUGGCGAAGGCAGCCCCCUGGGUCAAGACUGACGCUCAUGCACGAAAGCGUGGGGAGCAGACAGG
rnacentral:rRNA from 1 species